AGAGUUUGAUCCUGGCUCAGGAUGAACGCUGGCGGCGUGCUUAACACAUGCAAGUCGAACGAUGAUCCGGUGCUUGCACCGGGGAUUAGUGGCGAACGGGUGAGUAACACGUGAGUAACCUGCCCUUAACUCUGGGAUAAGCCUGGGAAACUGGGUCUAAUACCGGAUAUGACUCCUCAUCGCAUGGUGGGGGGUGGAAAGCUUUUUUGUGGUUUUGGAUGGACUCGCGGCCUAUCAGCUUGUUGGUGAGGUAAUGGCUUACCAAGGCGACGACGGGUAGCCGGCCUGAGAGGGUGACCGGCCACACUGGGACUGAGACACGGCCCAGACUCCUACGGGAGGCAGCAGUGGGGAAUAUUGCACAAUGGGCGCAAGCCUGAUGCAGCGACGCCGCGUGAGGGAUGACGGCCUUCGGGUUGUAAACCUCUUUCAGUAGGGAAGAAGCGAAAGUGACGGUACCUGCAGAAGAAGCGCCGGCUAACUACGUGCCAGCAGCCGCGGUAAUACGUAGGGCGCAAGCGUUAUCCGGAAUUAUUGGGCGUAAAGAGCUCGUAGGCGGUUUGUCGCGUCUGCCGUGAAAGUCCGGGGCUCAACUCCGGAUCUGCGGUGGGUACGGGCAGACUAGAGUGAUGUAGGGGAGACUGGAAUUCCUGGUGUAGCGGUGAAAUGCGCANAUAUCAGGAGGAACACCGAUGGCGAAGGCANNNNU
rnacentral:rRNA from 1 species